ACUUAUUUUUAAAAUACAUAACUUGAAUUUAUUUUUUUAGAUACAUAUCACAUAAAUAUCUCUUCACUGAAAAGCUACAGAAGCAGUGACAAACCAGUAGUAACGACCACCUGUGGGGCCCAGAUUCUGGUCUCUAAACUUUAAUUCUGUCCUAAGAGAACUGAUGUUUCCAGGACUGGCUGGACAAUAUGUUGAAUAAGUCUGGAACAUCUUGUUGUGCUGAAAAGCAAGAAAGCAAUCAAGGAUUACAGGGAACAUGUCAAAGAGACAGAGAAACCAAUUAGAGCAGCUCCCACUGGCGAAAGUGUGGAACAGUUUGAGCAACAAUAAAAAUGACUGGAAAGGUCAUAUAUAUCCAUAAGUUAGUAAUUAUACAAAAACAAAACACACACACACAUACACACUCAUUGGUCACCUUUGGUAAUUACUAGAAAAUUUCUAAAUAUUGAUAUUAAAAAGAGAAAGCAUUAUGGAUUGUUUGUUCUGUCUUUCCUGUGUGUAGCAUAUUUCAUGCUGUUUUUCCAAGGUAAUUCUUCAGUAUAAAAUCCCAUUGUCUCAACUGAAGAUGACUCAGAAGUCUACCAGAGCACCAAACUCUCUGUGGGAUCAGCUGAAGCCAUUGCUGAAAUUGUAUCACAGAGACUUGUUUAACCAUUAGGGGGACCCCUCAGGUCACGCAGACAGUGUGCGACUACUCUUACUAGACAUCCACCUUCAGCUCUCUGGAAGCAUUUGAUUCAUUGUGAAAUUUUUUCUCAAAAUUACUAUAAAAUACAAUUUUAAAACGGAAUAUAUGGAGCAAGAGGAAGAUGGAGAUGGUGGAGGAGGAGGAAGAAGAAAAUGAAGAAAGCAAAGGAGGAGAAGGAAGAGAUGAUGAGGAUGAAGAAGAAAUGUAGAAAUUGCAAGUAUACAAAAUCAGGAAUCUUUUAAAAGACUGGUUUUAUCCUCUAAAUUCUUAGCCAUAAAUGCUUAUCUCUCUGAAUGACUUAAAAAUCAAUAUAAAGUUUGAUUCUAUGGUU